AUGGACGAAAGUCUGAUGGAGCAACGCCGCGUGAGUGAAGAAGGGUUUCGGCUCGUAAAACUCUGUUGUUAAAGAAGAACAUAUCUGAGAGUAACUGUUCAGGUAUUGACGGUAUUUAACCAGAAAGCCACGGCUAACUACGUGCCAGCAGCCGCGGUAAUACGUAGGUGGCAAGCGUUGUCCGGAUUUAUUGGGCGUAAAGCGAGCGCAGGCGGUUUUUUAAGUCUGAUGUGAAAGCCUUCGGCUUAACCGAAGAAGUGCAUCGGAAACUGGGAAACUUGAGUGCAGAAGAGGACAGUGGAACUCCAUGUGUAGCGGUGAAAUGCGUAGAUAUAUGGAAGAACACCAGUGGCGAAGGCGGCUGUCUGGUCUGUAACUGACGCUGAGGCUCGAAAGUAUGGGUAGCAAACAGGAUUAGAUACCCUGGUAGUCCAUACCGUAAACGAUGAAUGCUAAGUGUUGGAGGGUUUCCGCCCUUCAGUGCUGCAGCUAACGCAUUAAGCAUUCCGCCUGGGGAGUACGGCCGCAAGGCUGAAACUCAAAGGAAUUGACGGGGGCCCGCACAAGCGGUGGAGCAUGUGGUUUAAUUCGAAGCUACGCGAAGAACCUUACCAGGUCUUGACAUACUAUGCAAAUCUAAGAGAUUAGACGUUCCCUUCGGGGACAUGGAUACAGGUGGUGCAUGGUUGUCGUCAGCUCGUGUCGUGAGAUGUUGGGGUUAAGUCCGCAAGAGCGCAACC
rnacentral:rRNA from 2 species